UGAAGCAGAUACUGACACCAUGCUGACUCCUUCCCAGCAGACUCCCAGCUCCACGUGCUUCAUGCUCUUUGUUACAGACUCUAUCACCUCGCUGGAGCUGAAAGACUCAUCUGUUUGUGAUGUCCAGUCUUCCCUGCAGAGUCCUCACCACAAUGUUAUAUCACCCCUCCUUUGGUAUCGUGAUUGUUUGCAUAACAGAAAGAAAACGGCAUACUCACAAGAAAUUCCUGGGCAGAUCAUAUGCAGACUGCUUCUACUCUACUCUGCAGACUUUGAGAGCUGGAGCUUAAGCUACAGAUAUAUUCAGAGGAAGAAAAAAACCCAAACUGUUGCAAAAGUGAAAAUUAGAUGCAGUGACUACAUGCAUGUAGCUCAGACAAAUUUACAACUGUAG
rnacentral:lncRNA from 1 species